rnacentral:rRNA from 1 species
CCUACGGGUGGCAGCAGUGAGGAAUAUUGGUCAAUGGGCGCGAGCCUGAACCAGCCAAGUCGCGUGAGGGAUGACGGCCCUACGGGUUGUAAACCUCUUUUGCCGGGGAGCAACGGGCGCCACGUGUGGCGCCACUGAGAGUACCCGGAGAAAAAGCAUCGGCUAACUCCGUGCCAGCAGCUGCGGUAAUACGGGGGAUGCGAGCGUUAUCCGGAUUUGUUGGGUUUAAAGGGUGCGUAGGCGGAUCGUUAAGUCAGUGGUAAAAUUGAGGGGCUAAACCCCUUCCCGCCAUUGAAACUGUACGGCUGGAGUGCAGGAGAGGUAAGUGGAAUUCCUAGUGUAGCGGUGAAAUGCGUAGAUAUUAGGAGGAACACCAGUGGCGAAGGCGGCUUACUGGACUGUAACUGACGUUGAGGCUCGAAAGCGUGGGGAGCAAACAGGAUUAGAUACCCGAGUAGUC